GGCUCGCGCACGAUGCACGCACCCACUGACCUGCGCCCACUGUCUGGCACUCCCUAGUGAGAUGAACCUGGUACCUCAGAUGGAAAUGCAGAAAUCACCCGUCUUCUGCGUUGCUCACGCUGGGAGCUGUAGACCAGAGCUGUUCCUAUUCGGCCUUCUUGGCUCCUUCCCUGGGCUCUUUUAUAUUGCUGGCAAAAUAGUGACUCCCCGUGGAACAGAGUUGUUGUUCAGCAGAAAUAAUCAAGAGUUGACAUCAUACCAGGUAAAAAAUAGAAGCGGUAAUUUUGAAGGUGCUGUCAGAAGAGUUAUUGAAGUGGUCAUGAACUCUAAAGUUACAGAGGCAAUUAUGUAAAGAUAAAAGAUAAAGACCUCGGGACUCAACAAUAAACCAGACCAGUAUGGCUCUAUCUUCAUGAAGAACAUACACAAUAAUUCAGGACUCACAGAAGUCGAUGAGCAGAACACAGAAGACUCAACCUGAAGAAAUUCCAUAUACGUGCUACUCCUGUAGGCACAAGCAAGAAAAAAUAUUCAAGGAUAAGAGUUUCAUGAGAGUAGAAGUCUUAAUCCAUGAACCUGGAAAAAGAUAUUCACAUCAAGGAUGGCACCCUUCUCCUGGGAGAAACCUCCCUGGGUAAUACUGAUCUCAUAUUGUGAAUUGUUUGAGAUUUGAAGAAUGGAUUAAAGAGAAAAUGAUUGUGCCCGUAGACCAAUGAAGAGACUGUUGCAAUAACUCAGUGCAACUGCCACCAAAAUGUAAAAUUUUCAUAAAAAUCCUUACAGGGAAGACCUGUAAGGUUGAACCCUCCAAUACAAUAGAAAAUGUAAAGGCCAAGAUCUAGCAUGAGGAAGGAAUUCCUCCUGAUCAGCCAAGACCGAUCUUUACUGGUAAGCAACUGGAAGAUGGGGGCACUUUGACUAGGACAUUAAAAAUAAGUCCGCUCUUCAUCUUGUGCUGAGACUUCCUGGUGGUGCCGAGAAAAGGAAGAAGCCUUGUACCACUUCCAAGUAGAAUAAGCAUAAGAGAAAGGUUAGGCUGGCUCUCCUGAAAUAGUAUAAGGUAGAUAAGAAUGGCAAAAUUAAUCACCUUCAAUGCCCUUCAGAUGAAUGCAGUACUGAAGUUUUCAUGGCCAUUCACUUUAAUAGACAUUAUUGUGGCAAAUGUGGCCUGACUUACUGCUUCAGCAAACCAGAAGACAAGUAA
rnacentral:lncRNA from 1 species